GCGGGAAUAACUCAAUUGGUAGAGUAUCAGUUUUCCAAACUGAAAGUUAUGGGUUCAAAUCCCAUUUUCCGCU
rnacentral:tRNA from 1 species